rnacentral:lncRNA from 1 species
AUGCACUCGGCUUGCAGCCAGCUGUUGGGUGGUGAUGCCAGGGCUGCCCUGUGCCAGCUCCACCACAGGGCCCAGCAGGGCCCAGCAGCCAAGAUGGCGGCGCCUCACCUCAGGGACAGCAAGGGGAGGCAUCUUUGUACCCUGUGUUUUCAACUAGAAAACAAAAGCAUUCUUUUAAGCUGCUCGUACACAAUGUGAAGCGGAAGAACUCUAUAUGCCCGGCUAGGAAGCUUUGCAGUCCUCUACUUGCCAGAUGCUACAGGCAGACAAUAUCUGGAUACACUCUGGAUACACUAAGGGUAAAUGUGUUGCAUAGUGAAAGUCUAAAACAAUGAAACAAGAUGUUAUUGUAAUUUUUUUUUUUCUCCUAGUUAAGGAUGUAUUCUAUAUUUUCCCCUAGGAAAUCUCCUUGUAGAUUUUUUUCUUCCUCAUCUUCUGUUUUGUGGUGUUGAUUUCAUGAUAGCUGCAAUUUUAUGAUUGUCCCAUUGUCACUAAUGUUUGCUGACAGUUAUGUUUUUUCAAAUGUAAUAGUGUAUGGUUGCAAAUAAGGCAAUGUCUUUCCAAUAUU